rnacentral:tRNA from 1 species
GUGGCAGUAGCUCAGUGGUAGAGCUCCCGUUUUGUGUGCGGGAAGACCUGAGUUCGAUUCCAUGCUGUUUUC